UCGAGUUCACUCCCAACCCCUGUGACAUACCACUUGUUGCCUCGGCGGAUCAGCCCGCUCCCGGUAAAACGGGACGGCCCGCCAGAGGACCCCUAAACUCUGUUUCUAUAUGUAACUUCUGAGUAAAACCAUAAAUAAAUCAAAACUUUCAACAACGGAUCUCUUGGUUCUGGCAUCGAUGAAGAACGCAGCAAAAUGCGAUAAGUAAUGUGAAUUGCAGAAUUCAGUGAAUCAUCGAAUCUUUGAACGCACAUUGCGCCCGCCAGUAUUCUGGCGGGCAUGCCUGUUCGAGCGUCAUUUCAACCCUCAAGCACAGCUUGGUGUUGGGACUCGCGUUAAUUCGCGUUCCUCAAAUUGAUUGGCGGUCACGUCGAGCUUCCAUAGCGUAGUAGUAAAACCCUCGUUACUGGUAAUCGUCGCGGCCACGCCGUUAAACCCCAACUUCUGAAUGUUGACCUCGGAUCAGGUAGGAAUACCCGCUGAACUUAAGCAUAUCAAUAAGCGGGGGGA
rnacentral:rRNA from 1 species